rnacentral:rRNA from 1 species
CUCGUAGGCGGCUUGUCGCGUCUGCUGUGAAAUCCUGGGGCUUAACUCUGGGCGUGCAGUGGGUACGGGCAGGCUAGAGUGCGGUAGGGGUGAUUGGAAUUCCUGGUGUAGCGGUGGAAUGCGCAGAUAUCAGGAGGAACACCGAUGGCGAAGGCAGGUCACUGGGCCGUUACUGACGCUGAGGAGCGAAAGCGUGGGGAGCGAACA